rfam:Tetragenococcus halophilus NBRC 12172 DNA, complete genome.
CGUUAAUAGUUAAGUUUACCGAAGACAGUAGGUGACACAUCGUCGUAAAUCCUACCGAGGACUUUUAUUGGUGUAUAUCAAUAGACCCUCUAUGUCUGCGGUGGCAUAGAGUUUUUUUAUUAAAAAA